rnacentral:lncRNA from 1 species
GCAGUACUUACCAUUGAGAUCCCCAAGUUACACAAGCAGUGAGUCCUAUUGUUGAUAUGUAAACAUAGGUAUUUUGACUCCAAGUGGUGUCAAAAUUUUUCUACUUUUUGUAGAAAAAAUAGAGGCUCACAGUGUCUGAACAAACUUGGCUGCUGAAUGUGAAUUCCUCCAAUUUGCCAUCCUUUCCUGCUGAACAAAGGAGGUAACUCUGCACUAAGACUCUUCUUACUGAUAGAUAUGGUCCACAGCCUAUGGUCCUCACCUGGGACUUGGCAUGAACAUCUUGGCUUCCAGACCUUGCAGUUCGUGAUAAACUUUUUAGAUUUUUGAGUUUCCUAAGACUUAAAAGAAGGAUCACUGAUAUACCUGAGGAGGAACGAAACUCUAACCUCAGUUUCUCCGCUCACUGCAGAGUGUCUGUGACGUGGCCUCACUUGAGGACAUCAUUGUGGGAUCACCUUCAGUAAUGUCAGUCAUCAGACUUUGAGGAACUAAAGAAACUGAGCCAAGUCCUGCUUUGAAUGAAUGAUUUUAUACAGAGUCACCCUGAGACCACAGUCUCCCGAAAUUACUUCAAAGGCAAGAAGUGAUAUAAAGCUAAUAAUCCCAUAGUAAAUUUAGAGAAAUAUAAAUUAUUUGUUCACAAAUGAGAAAAUUAUAGGUGUUUUCAAAAGCUGACUAAAAUACCUGAAAGAAUUAUUUAAAAGAGAAUUUUUGGAACAAGGCGUAACUGUGCCAAGGGGUUCUGAGUAUGAUUACAAUAAACAGAAACAAACACUCAAAUAAUAUAUUUACCUAAGCAGCUAAUUUCCUCCUAGAAGGAAAAGGGCACUUAAUUAAUUUGGCUGAACAAGACUUCUAACUGUGAAUUCUCAGCUAUGCUGCUAAUGGGGUCACCUAAAAGAUCAGCUAGAAAAGCAGAAAUUAUUAAAGGGAAG